rnacentral:rRNA from 1 species
UGAACGCUGGCGGUGUGCUUAACACAUGCAAGUCGUACGAGGUCCAUUCUCCUAUAUGCUCUCGGGCAUAUAAAAAUGGACUGCAGUGGCGGACGGGUGCGUAACGCGUAAGAACUUACCUUUUGGAGGGGGAUAACAUUGGGAAACCGCUGCUAAUACCCCAUAAUGCUGAGGAGCUAAAUGGUGAACAACCGCCAAGAGAGAGGCUUGCGUCUGAUUAGCUAGUUGGUGGGGGUAAUGGCCCCCCAAGGCGACGAUCAGUAGCUGGUCUGAGAGGAUGAUCAGCCACACUGGGACUGAGACACGGCCCAGACUCCUACGGGAGGCAGCAGUGAGGAAUUUUCCGCAAUGGGCGAAAGCCUGACGGAGCAAUACCGCGUGAAGGAAGAAGGCCCGUGGGUCGUAAACUUCUUUUCUCAGAGAAGAAGAUCUGACGGUAUCUGAGGAAUAAGCGCCGGCUAAGUCUGUGCCAGCAGCCGCGGUAAUACAGACGGCGCAAGCGUUAUCCGGAAUGAUUGGGCGUAAAGCGUCUGUAGGUGGUUCGCGAAGUCUACUGUCAAAUCCCAGGGCUCAACCUUGGACAGGCAGUGGAGAACUCGCGGACUAGAGUACGGUAGGGGUAGAGGGAAUUCCCGGUGAAGCAGUGAAAUGCACAGAGAUCGGGAAGAACACCAGUGGCGAAGGCACUCUACUAGGCCGUGACUGACACUGAGA